rnacentral:rRNA from 1 species
ACAACCAGGAUGUUGGCUUAGAAGCAGCCACCAUUAAAAGAGUGCGUAAUAGCUCACUGGUCGAGAGGCCUUGCGCCGAAGAUGUCCGGGGCUCAAGUACAGAACCGAAGUCGCGGCAGGAUUAUAUAAUUCUGGGUAGGGGAGCGUUGUAUAUCCGACUGAAGGUGUACCGGAAGGAGCGCUGGAGGAUAUACAAGAGAGAAUGCCGGUAUGAGUAGCGAAAAGAACAGUGAGAAUCUGUUCCACCGAAAGCCUAAGGUUUCCUGAGCAACGCUCGUCGACUCAGGGUAAGUCGGGACCUAAGCCGAGGCAAAAAGCAUAGGCGAUGGACAACAGGUUAAUAUUCCUGUACCGCUUCAAAUCGUUUGAGCAAUGGAGUGACACAGAAGGUAGCUUGAGCACGCGAAUGGAUGUGCGUGUCGAAGGUGGUAGGUUGCAGUAUAGGUAAAUCCGUACUGUAUAAGACCGAGAACUGAUAGAUAGACGAUACUUCGGUAAAGUCAAAUUCAAGUGAGCCAUGCUGUCGAGAAAAGCUUCUAGUGAGAGAUGAGGCGCCCGUACCGAAACCGACACAGGUAGGCGGGGAGAGAAUCCUAAGGUGCGCGGGACAACCCUCGUUAAGGAACUCGGCAAAUUGUAUCCGUAACUUAGGGAUAAGGAUAGCCGGAGGAUGUGAAGGGAUUUACUUCUGGAGCGUCAGCCGGUGGCACAAGAGAGGCCCAAGCGACUGUUUAGCACAAACACAGGUGCCUGCAAAAGAGAAAUCUGACGUAUAGGUGCUGACACCUGCCCGGUGCUGGAAGGUUAAGAGGAGGGCUUAGAGGCAACUCGAAGGCUUGAAUUGAAGCCCCAGUAAACGGCGGCCGUAACUAUAACGGUCCUAAGGUAGCGAAAUUCCUUGUCGGGUAAGUUCCGACCCGCACGAAAGGUGUAACGAUUUGGGCACUGUCUCAACGAGGGACCCGGUGAAAUUGAAAUACCUGUGAAGAUGCAGGUUACCCGCGACUGGACAGAAAGACCCCAUGGAGCUUUACUGCAACCUGACAUUGAUGUUCGGUAAAUAACGUACAGGAUAGGUGGGAGACGGAGAAGUAUUGGCGUUAGCUGAUAUGGAGUCAACCUUGGGAUACCACCCUUUAUUUAUUGGACCUCUAACUGAAGAAGUAACGACUCUCAGGACAGUAUCAGGCGGGCAGUUUGACUGGGGCGGUCGCCUCCCAAAAUGUAACGGAGGCGCCCAAAGGUUCCCUCAGCGCGAACGGAAACCGCGCAAAGAGUGUAAAGGCAGAAGGGAGCUUGACUGCGAGUCAGACACGACGAGCAGGUACGAAAGUAGGGCUUAGUGAUCCGGUGGUUCCGAGUGGAAGGGCCAUCGCUCAACGGAUAAAAGCUACCCUGGGGAUAACAGGCUAAUCUCUCCCAAGAGUUCAUAUCGACGGGGAGGUUUGGCACCUCGAUGUCGGCUCAUCACAUCCUGGGGCUGAAGUCGGUCCCAAGGGUUGGGCUGUUCGCCCAUUAAAGUGGUACGUGAGCUGGGUUCAGAACGUCGUGAGACAGUUCGGUCCAUAUCCAUCGCGGGCGUAAGAGACUUGAAGGGGGCUGCUCCUAGUACGAGAGGACCGGAGUGGACGGACCAAUGGUGUACCAAUUAUCCCGCCAGGGGUACAGUUGGGUAGCUACGUCCGGAAAAGAUAAACGCUGAAAGCAUCUAAGCGUGAAACUUGCCUUAAGAUGAGGUCUCCCGAAGCGAAAGCUUGAAAGACACCUUGAAGAUGACGAGGUUGAUAGGCCAGGAGUAGAAGUUCAGUAAUGAAUGUAGCGUACUGGUACUAAUAUGUCGAGAGCUUAACUUA